GUGAAAGCCCCCGGCUCAACCGGGGAGGGUCAUUGGAAACUGGGGAACUUGAGUGCAGAAGAGGAGAGUGGAAUUCCACGUGUAGCGGUGAAAUGCGUAGAGAUGUGGAGGAACACCAGUGGCGAAGGCGACUCUCUGGUCUGUAACUGACGCUGAGGAGCGAAAGCGUGGGGAGCGAACAGGAUUAGAUACCCUGGUAGUCCACGCCGUAAACGAUGAGUGCUAAGUGUUAGGGGGUUUCCGCCCCUUAGUGCUGCAGCUAACGCAUUAAGCACUCCGCCUGGGGAGUACGGUCGCAAGACUGAAACUCAAAGGAAUUGACGGGGGCCCGCACAAGCGGUGGAGCAUGUGGUUUAAUUCGAAGCAACGCGAAGAACCUUACCAGGUCUUGACAUCCUCUGACAAUCCUAGAGAUAGGACGUCCCCUUCGGGGGCAGAGUGACAGGUGGUGCAUGGUUGUCGUCAGCUCGUGUCGUGAGAUGUUGGGUUAAGUCCCGCAACGAGCGCAACCCUUGAUCUUAGUUGCCAGCAUUCAGUUGGGCACUCUAAGGUGACUGCCGGUGACAAACCGGAGGAAGGUGGGGAUGACGUCAAAUCAUCAUGCCCCUUAUGACCUGGGCUACACACGUGCUACAAUGGACAGAACAAAGGGCAGCGAAACCGCGAGGUUAAGCCAAUCCCACAAAUCUGUUCUCAGUUCGGAUCGCAGUCUGCAACUCGACUGCGUGAAGCUGGAAUCGCUAGUAAUCCGCGGUCAGCCAUGC
rnacentral:rRNA from 2 species